rnacentral:rRNA from 1 species
ACUCCUACGGGAGGCAGCAGUGAGGAAUCUUCCACAAUGGGGGCAACCCUGAUGGAGCAACGCCGCGUGCAGGAUGAAGGCCUUCGGGUUGUAAACUGCUUUUAUAAGUGAAGAAUAUGACGGUAACUUAUGAAUAAGGAUCGGCUAACUACGUGCCAGCAGCCGCGGUAAUACGUAGGAGGCGAGCGUUAUCCGGAUUUACUGGGCG